GGGGAAGCCAACUGGCAGUCCGACGGAACUUUAACUGGGAAGUUCUCGGAUGGAAGGGAUAAAGUUUAAUUGGCGGAUGGGUGAGUAACGCGUGGGUAACCUGCCCUGUACAGGGGGAUAACAGCUGGAAACGGCUGCUAACACCGCAUAACAUAGCGAUACCGCAUGAUAUUGCUAUCAAAUAUUUAUAGGUACAGGAUGGGCCCACGUCUGAUUAGCCAGUUGGCAGGGUAAUGGCCUACCAAAGCGACGAUCAGUAGCCGACUUGAGAGAGUGACCGGCCACAUUGGGACUGAGACACGGCCCAAACUCCUACGGGAGGCAGCAGUGGGGGAUAUUGCACAAUGGGGGAAACCCUGAUGCAGCGACGCCGCGUGAGUGAAGAAGUAUUUCGGUAUGUAAAGCUCUAUCAGCAGGGAAGAUGAUGACAGUACCUGACUAAGAAGCCCCGGCUAACUACGUGCCAGCAGCCGCGGUAAUACGUAGGGGGCAAGCGUUAUCCGGAUUUACUGGGUGUAAAGGGAGCGUAGGCGGCUGGGCAAGUCAGAAGUGAAAGCCCGGGGCUCAACCCCGGGACUGCUUUUGAAACUGUCCAGCUAGAGUGUCGGAGGGGUAGGCGGAAUUCCUAGUGUAGCGGUGAAAUGCGUANAUAUUAGGAGGAACACCAGUGGCGAAGGCGGCCUACUGGACGAUGACUGACGCUGAGGCUCGAAAGCGUGGGGAGCAAACAGGACUAGAUACCCUGGUAGUCCACGCCAUAAACGAUGAAUACUAGGUGUCCGGGGUCCACAAGACUUCGGUGCCGUCGCAAACGCAGUAAGUAUUCCACCUUGGGGAGUACGUUUCGCAGAAUGGAACUCAAAGGAAUUGACGGGGACCCGCACAAAGCGGUGAACCAUGUGUUUAAAUUCGAGGCACCGCGAGAAACCUUACCAGACCUUGGACUCCUG
rnacentral:rRNA from 1 species